rnacentral:rRNA from 1 species
GAUGAACGCUGGCGGCGUGCUUAACACAUGCAAGUCGAACGGAAAGGCCCAAGCUUGCUUGGGUACUCGAGUGGCGAACGGGUGAGUAACACGUGGGUGAUCUGCCCUGCACUUCGGGAUAAGCCUGGGAAACUGGGUCUAAUACCGGAUAGGACCACUUCUUGGAUGUUGUGGUGGAAAGUUUUUUCGGUGUGGGAUGAGCUCGCGGCCUAUCAGCUUGUUGGUGGGGUAAUGGCCUACCAAGGCGUCGACGGGUAGCCGGCCUGAGAGGGUGUACGGCCACAUUGGGACUGAGAUACGGCCCAGACUCCUACGGGAGGCAGCAGUGGGGAAGAUUGCACAAGGGGCGCAAGCCUGAUGCAGCGACGCCGCGUGGGGGAUGACGGCCUUCGGGUUGUAAAAUCCUUUCGCUAGGGACGAAGCGUUUUGUGACGGUACCUGGAGAAGAAGCACCGGCUAACUACGUG